rnacentral:lncRNA from 1 species
GUUGCCCAGGCCAGUGCUGGGGGAAAGCUGUGACAACUGAGGAGUGACACCAGGGAGCUUCUUUGUUGUGCUAGAACAGUUCUACAUCCUGUUUGAGGUGUUGGUUACUUGAGUUUACACAUGGGGUAAAAUGUCCUAUAACGAUAGACCAGAAAAAGAAAAGAAGAAAAAGUAUAUAAAAUCUGUGAGAUCUGAAUACGGUUUAUACCUGAGUUAAAAAUACUGAAAAACUGGAGUUACCCUCAUAUCUCAGGGGUAACAAACCCCACUAGUAUCCAUGAGGUUUCUGGUUCGAUCCCUGGCCUCGCUCAAUGGGUUAAGUGUCUGGUGUUGCCCUGAGCUGUGAUAUAGGUCACAGAUGUGGCUCGGAUCCUGCAUUGCUAUGGCUGUGGUGUAAGUCGGUGGCUACAGCUCCGAUUCGACCCCUAGCCUGGGAACUUCCAUAUGCUGCAGGUGUGGGCAUGGCCCUGAAAAGACAAAAAGAAAAAGAAAAACCUCACUGUCUUGGUUCUGCAAGGGCUAAGGCAGGGUGACAUGCUAUUAUUGGGGGUAGCUGGGUGAAGGGUACGUGGGAACUCUACUACUUUUACAAUUUCUUGUGAGCCUUAAACUAUUUCAAAGAUAAGGAUAAUUUUUUAAAAAAACAUUUUAAAGAAAUUAGUAGAAAAAGGUAAUUAGAUAUAGGAAGAGUUUCUUUUUUCUUUUUAAUGCCAGAAUGUUAGUCCUUUGAGUACCUAUGGAAAUGGUAUUAAAUGCUUUAGGAAAAAGGGAGCUUUGCAGUAAUCCAUAGCAAUUUUCCAAUAAUGAUUUCCUAAGUAGUGUUUCCUUUUAGUGAUAGUUUCUUCUUCUCUGAGUAAUUUCCUUUUAUUGUUAUGAACUUGGCCUCUAGUCUGAGUGCCCUUCUGUGUCUUUCUGGAGAGAGGUUGGGUUAUUGGAAGAAUCUUGACCAGCAGGUGUAGGUGAGGCAGGAAGAGAGUUUCUCUUUGUUUAUUCUUUGCCGAGGGUAAGAGCCUCAGAGUUUAAACCUCUGAAUUAUUCCUUUGCACAGCAAGAAUGUGUUUAGAUUUUUUUUAAAACUACCAACAAAUAAAGGUACCUCAGUUGCCCUCUAAUCCCUGGGUGACUGACUUCUGGAAUGUUCUUGAGGAGACACUUGAGAAGGGAGUGGAAUAAAUAAGAAUAAUAAGAUGGUAAUACUUUCUGUGACAUCAGCCUUAGUGACGUUGUUGGCAAUGUAAGUUCAUACUCAAAAUUGCUAAUUUUCUCAUUCCAGUUUAAGACCUCUUGGUCCUACAGGGGUUAAGUAAAUUUUCCCCAAAUUGUUUUAGAAUUUAUACUUACCUGAAUCUUUAGGUCAAUAUGAUACCAGAUAUCAAGACAAUAAUCCUUAGUUGAUUUUUAUUCUGUCCUUAAAAGGAACAACAAUAUGGGUGCAAAAGAAGAUUUCUGUUUGAUAUUCAAGACCGAUUCUAUAUUGCUUAAUUAUAUAAACCUACUUUGGAGAUUCUUGGAAAUAGCCUGCUAAAGUUCAAUUUCCUUUAUAGUUUUGGCCACUCUAAACCUGUCUCUAAAGCCUUUGGAAAUUUUGGGGUCAAGGGAGGCCACAUUAAGAAUCAAAUUGUGCUACAUGGAGUGUCUGUGUGGAAUGGAGAAUAUGACUUCUUUUAUCAAAUAGGACCCAAAUAAUUAGCAAAGUGGACCCUGGUCUCCAUGAGUAUAUAAUACAGUUUGGUGUUGUGGAGUAGAUGAAUUAUAAAAUUAACAUUCAUGAGACAUUAAUCAUGUCCUUUCUAAUAUUAUUCAAUGCCUGUCUGUCUUCUCUGCCUUUCAUUAAUUUUGAAAUUUAAAAAAAAUGCCCUACUUGUCGUGAGCCUCGUAGGAAUGACUGCACAGUUUCUCUGGAUGGAAUUCUCAAUGAUUUAGGACUCAGCAUUGUCAUUCCUUUCUCAGUGCCUCUCCAGACAUUUUAAAGACAUCAUCAGUGAUCCUCACUCUCCUAAAGGAUGGUUUGGGAAUCCCUAGAGUGUAGACUUCUUGAAGGCAGGGAUUUUAUCCAUGUUCCAUGUCAUGCCCCCAUUGCUAGAACAGGGCCUGCCAUGAGUGCUCAGUAGCUUUCCUGUCGACUUGAAUGGUCACUUACUGUUGGGGAGAGAACUUGGUCUUUGGAGUCAGACUGACCUUAACUCUGCACUGGGUGACCUAGAACAGGUUACUUCACUUCCUAGAAUUUCAGUUUUGUUGUGUGGAAGCCGCUGUCCAGACUGAAAUUGCAUGCAAAGACUGAGCACACAGCUUCGGAAGUACUGGGUGCUUAGUGAGUGAACCCUCCCAUAUUAACUCACAUCAUUCCCGUCUUUUUUCUGUGAGAGCUUUCUGUUUUUCAGAAUGCAAUUCAUACAAAAGGAAGUAUUUCAGAGAAGACUAUCAUGACUUUUUUUUGGCCAAGCCUGUGGAAGUUCCUUGGCCAGCAGUAGCCCUGUGAUCAGUGACAAAGCCAAGUCCUUAACCUCUAGGGCACCAGGGUUUAUGGUGAAACUGGAGCAGUGAAUUCUGGUGGAAUUACUUGGGAAUACAGGCAUAUGCAUGACAGUCUGGGGAAGCCAUGUUUGUGUUGUUCGAGGUGAAGAAUUAUCAUCAAUAUGCUGCUUACAUCAUAGGCUGUCCAGUGAAGAUGAAGUUUCCAACAAGGGCCUAGAAGCUCAUGAGCAUAAAGUGCUGGUGCCCUCUCAGGAAGGCUGUGAGCUGGAAGUCACUCAAGGCCAGAGAUCGAAUCCACAACCUCAUGGUUCCUAGUCAAAUUCAUUUCUGCUGCGCCAUGACCGGAACUCCGGAUUCUGUGUUUUUAAUGAAUGCACCUGAGGAAUUUUUAUGAUGGUAAGUUUGGUAAACACUGCUUUAGUCCCGCCCAGGUUGGGAUCAGAAUUCUCUUACCCAAAAGGCUGGGCAAGAUUGAGAAGCAGGGCUUCUGGUUUCAGAGGGACAUACAAGCAGUCUGUUAGGAGGCAUCCUGGAGCUAGGAUGCUGUCUGGGGGAGCGGGCUGCCACUUCCUGGGUGCUGGAUUUAGAGGACUGAGGUGUUCACAGUGAGGCUCCGGUGCUCAUGGGAACCGAGGUGACCCUGAGGGAGAGAAUGGCAGUCACGCAUCCCAGCCACAGGUGAGGGCUCUUGACGCAAACGGAAGAUUUAGGCUGGGUAGGAUUCCUAUCUCAUGGCCCAGGGAGGCUGUGGGGAAAGGCCGCUCACUCGUGGGUCAACAGCAGGGGGCGUCUCUCCUGAAAAGGAUCUUGUUCUUGGAUGAUAACCACUGGGGUGAACAGACGGUCCUUAGGAAACCAGAGCUCACCACGGAGACUAGACAGGCAGCGAGGUAACCAGUGUGUUUCAAGCCUUUCUCGUUGGGGUCCAGAUGCGAAAGGAGCUGGUGUCCUUGAAGUUCACGGUCUUGAGUUCAUCAGGGUGGCGGUGGGUGUGCCCUGGGAUAGCUGUCCCUAAGAAGAAGGGAGGACCUGAGCCGGGUGGCGCCGAGGAGCCCCUUCCCGAGGAGCCCCUUCCCACCCGGGAGCCCGCCGCCCUGGAGGGUGCCCUUGGGGUGGAUCUUCCUCAGGUGAGACCAGAGCAGGCAGGUCGAGGUGGGCGUGAGAUGUAAGGGAAUGAUUGGUUGUUUGAUCGGCCCAGAGUGGGACUUAUUGGACCGAGAGGUAAUGCUUUUGGCUCUGAUGGUUCCUAGAAACGGAAUGUUUGUGGCCCCACCGGCCCCCUAUUCAUAGUUUGAAACCUAAUCCCCAAUGUGAAGGUGUUUGGAGGCCCUGGGAGGCGAUUAGGGCAUCAGGGUGGGGCCGAUGCGGAUGGAUUCGUGCCCUUGUAAGCGGAGGAAGAGUCGGAGUUCUCCCAUCGCUGCCUGAGGACGAGGCAAGAACACGGGCUCUGGGAACAGUGAGCUGGCCCUCACCAGACUCAGAAUCUGCUUGAUCCUGGACUUUCCAGCCUCUAGGACUGUGAGAAAUAAAUGUCUGCUGUUUAUAAGCCACCUGGUCUGUGGUUUUCUGUUACCAGCAGCCCAAAUGAACUAAGACCAUCAUAGAAUGAUAGAUAUUACAACUGCUUAAAAAAAUUUCAAAUAGUAGCUUAGGGGUAUCCUUCUAAAUUCUGUUAAGUUUGUUUUCUCUUUCAACAAGAAUCUCCCAUUAUUCCUUUCAUGGCCAAAAGACAAGACAGACUUCCUCUUUC